GUGGGGAAUCUUGCACAAUGGGGGAAACCCUGAUGCAGCGACGCCGCGUGAGCGAUGAAGCCCUUCGGGGUGUAAAGCUCUUUCGGCAGGAACGAUAAUGACGGUACCUGCAGAAGAAGCUGCGGCUAACUACGUGCCAGCAGCCGCGGUAAUACGUAGGCAGCAAGCGUUGUUCGGAGUUACUGGGCGUAAAGAGUGUGUAGGCGGUUUGCCAAGUUCGGUGUGAAAUCUCCCGGCUUAACUGGGAGGGUGCGCCGAAAACUGGCAGGCUCGAGUGCGGGAGAGGAGAGCGGAAUUCCUGGUGUAGCGGUGAAAUGCGUAGAGAUCAGGAGGAACACCUGCGGUGUAGACGGCUCUCUGGACCGCAACUGACGCUGAGACACGAAAGCGUGGGUAGCAAACAGGAUUAGAAACCCCAGUAGUCC
rnacentral:rRNA from 1 species